GGGGUUGUGGCUCAGUGGUAGAGUGCUUGCCUGGCAUGCGAGAGGCACUGGGUUCGAUCCUCAGCAACACAU
rfam:Ictidomys tridecemlineatus contig020516, whole genome shotgun sequence.